AUUGAACGCUGGCGGCAGGCUUAACACAUGCAAGUCGAGCGGGGGAAGGUAGCUUGCUACCGGACCUAGCGGCGGACGGGUGAGUAAUGCUUAGGAAUCUGCCUAUUAGUGGGGGACAACAUCUCGAAAGGGGUGCUAAUACCGCAUACGUCCUACGGGAGAAAGCAGGGGAUCUUCGGACCUUGCGCUAAUAGAUGAGCCUAAGUCGGAUUAGCUAGUUGGUGGGGUAAAGGCCUACCAAGGCGACGAUCUGUAGCGGGUCUGAGAGGAUGAUCCGCCACACUGGGACUGAGACACGGCCCAGACUCCUACGGGAGGCAGCAGUGGGGAAUAUUGGACAAUGGGGGGAACCCUGAUCCAGCCAUGCCGCGUGUGUGAAGAAGGCCUUAUGGUUGUAAAGCACUUUAAGCGAGGAGGAGGCUACUUUAGUUAAUACCUAGAGAUAGUGGACGUUACUCGCAGAAUAAGCACCGGCUAACUCUGUGCCAGCAGCCGCGGUAAUACAGAGGGUGCGAGCGUUAAUCGGAUUUACUGGGCGUAAAGCGUGCGUAGGCGGCUUAUUAAGUCGGAUGUGAAAUCCCCGAGCUUAACUUGGGAA
rnacentral:rRNA from 1 species